AGUUACUCGGCUUCUCAAACAGCCGCCUAAAAACACAACUACUGAUGUGCAGUUAUAUUAUUAAAAAUUUGAGUUCCAUCUGUCUUUUGGUUACAGUAUGAAUUAGGUCAGCGGUUCCUAACCUGUGGGUCAAGACCCCCAUGAGGGAUCACAACGGGAAUCUGGGGGGCGGUGAUCUAUCCACGGGAUCUGCAGAGACCAAACAAACGGCUACAAACAGCUCACCUACAGAGCAAACAUGGACCGAACCCACAGAAUGCACAGUCAACACACCCACUCUGAGACGGAUACGAGUUGCUGCUUGAGAUGGGUCAUAUUGAGGUGGCAGUGUACUCGCUGACUGUCUAUUUGUGCAAUCCCCAUGCCGUGCUGCAGCACCAAAGAAAGACUGUGACCUCCAUAUUACUGCUGUGAUUGUCAACUUGUGCAUGCUCGGAUGCUCAAAUUGGAGUCAAGACUUCAUGAAACCUGCAGGUUAUUUCUUGAGUGUUAAAGGAACAGUUCGACAUUUUGGGAAAAAGGCUUAUUUGCUCUCAUGCGAAGAGUUACAUGAGAAGAAACACGUUAUAUCUUUUUUGUUAAAUCAAACACCGAAAUGUAAAAAAUGACACGUUGCAUUGAUAUGAUAUGACAUAACUGUUUCUUGGAGUCUUCUCGUCUCUGUGAGGUUGCCAGGCAACCAACAGAGCCCGUAAUUUGUCAUUUUUGCGCAUUGGUUUUUGUAGGGAUUCAACUAACGAGAUAUAACGUGUGUUUUAGUGUGCUUUAGAGGUGCUUGCAGGCGGAUUUUGCUUCCGUUGGUAAAAAGCUAGGCUAGCUGUUUAGCUCCAAUUCCUGUAUUUUUGCUAAGCUAUGUUAAUCAAGUACUAGCUUAAGCUUCAAAUUUAUCAAACAGAUACAAGAGAGAUAUUAAUAUUCUUAUCUAACUAACUAUGUAAGAGAUCCCAUAAUUUCCCAAAUCGUCAUAACAAUAUGACGAUGCAAAUCGUAAUAAGUGUGAUCAGCUGCAACUGUCUUUUCAUGCAUAGGUUUCACUUUAAUUUGAUGCUAACCACCCCUAGCUGAGACCCCGAGGUGGACAUUUUGCAUGGAAGUUAUAAAUAUGGAAAGUCAAGUUAACUGAGUUGGGUUGUUGUAAUAUGUUUUAUGUCUUUUAUUUGUUCCUGAAUGUGUUUAGAAUAUGAAUUAUUCAAAACCCCUAACCUUACCUG